CUUCUCUUUCUUCAUAACUGUUUCUGUACCAGUCAUGGCAGAAAAGAUUGAGGAACUUACAGCCAACUACACCACAUUUAGAAAACAGCUGUCAAUUUAUGAAGGACAGGAGAUCCUCAAGAAAGAAGUGACUGUUCUUAACAGAUUAAAGUUCUUCUGAUAGUUGCCUGUCUCUGAUGAGGACCACAAUGCCACAGAUUACAAAGCACAGUUUGAUGCGAUCCUUAACCAACAUGAGGAGACGCUUAGAAAACAGAUUAAAUUGUACAUCUUAAGAUCUGAUCCAUUUGUAAAAUG